rnacentral:rRNA from 1 species
UACGGAGGGGACUAGCGUUGUUCGGAAUUACUGGGCGUAAAGCGCACGUAGGCGGAUUUGUAAGUCAGGGGUGAAAUCCCGAGGCUCAACCUCGGAACUGCCUUUGAUACUGCGAAUCUCGAGUCCGGAAGAGGUGAGUGGAAUUCCUAGUGUAGAGGUGAAAUUCGUAGAUAUUAGGAAGAACACCAGUGGCGAAGGCGGCUCACUGGUCCGGUACUGACGCUGAGGUGCGAAAGCGUGGGGAGCAAACAGG